rnacentral:rRNA from 1 species
GACGAACGCUGGCGGCAUGCCUAAUACAUGCAAGUCGAGCGAACAGAUGAAGUGCUUGCACUUCUGACGUUAGCGGCGAACGGGUGAGUAACACGUAAGGAAUCUACCUAUAAGCGGGGGAUAACAUUCGGAAACGGGUGCUAAUACCGCAUAAUAUCUUCUUCCGCAUGGAAGAAGAUUGAAAGACGGCUCUGCUGUCACUUAUAGAUGACCUUGCGGUGCAUUAGUUAGUUGGUGGGGUAAUGGCAUACCAAGACGAUGAUGCAUAGCCGACCUGAGGGGGUGAUCGGCCACAUUGGGACUGAGACACGGCCCAAACUCCUACGGGAGGCAGCAGUAGGGAAUCUUCCGCAAUGGGCGAAAGCCUGACGGAGCAAUGCCGCGUGAGUGAAGAAGGCCUUCGGGUCGUAAAACUCUGUUAUAAGAGAAGAACAAAUUGUAGAGUAACUGCUACAGUCUUGACGGUAUCUUAUCAGAAAGCCACGGCUAACUACGUGCCAGCAGCCGCAGUAA